rnacentral:rRNA from 1 species
CUGAUUGAACGUGCUUGCACGGACUUGACGUUGGUUUACCAGCGAGUGGCGGACGGGUGAGUAACACGUAGGUAACCUGCCCCAAAGCGGGGGAUAACAUUUGGAAACAGAUGCUAAUACCGCAUAACAAUUUGAAUCGCAUGAUUCAAAUUUAAAAGAUGGCUUCGGCUAUCACUUUGGGAUGGACCUGCGGCGCAUUAGCUUGUUGGUAGGGUAACGGCCUACCAAGGCUGUGAUGCGUAGCCGAGUUGAGAGACUGAUCGGCCACAAUGGAACUGAGACACGGUCCAUACUCCUACGGGAGGCAGCAGUAGGGAAUCUUCCACAAUGGGCGCAAGCCUGAUGGAGCAACACCGCGUGAGUGAAGAAGGGUUUCGGCUCGUAAAGCUCUGUUGUUAGAGAAGAACGUGCGUGAGAGCAACUGUUCACGCAGUGACGGUAUCUAACCAGAAAGUCACGGCUAACUACGUGCCAGCAGCCGCGGUAAUACGUAGGUGGCAAGCGUUAUCCGGAUUUAUUGGGCGUAAAGCGAGCGCAGGCGGUUUGAUAAGUCUGAUGUGAAAGCCUUUGGCUUAACCAAAGAAGUGCAUCGGAAACUGUCAGACUUGAGUGCAGAAGAGGACAGUGGAACUCUGGGUGAGAAGGGGGGAAGAAA